GAUCCCUCAGCUCAGAUUUGACAAUGACGUGGGUCCUUCCACCCAUUAAAGAGCCAUUUAUGUCACCGUUGAGCUGGCUGGUGUGGCAUUCUGCCCGUUUCGAGAUCCCCCUGGCUCAUCCAGCAAUAACGACAAUUUUGAAAGGCAGUGGAAGCUGAUCUCUAUAUCAUCACCCCUGAAAUAUUUGUCCAUCUGAAGGUGUAGCAUCCCCACCGGGCCAUCAGCAUUGCAUCAUCCAUCAGAAAUGCCUCUGGCACCACAGUAAAGCUGGGCUCCAUGACUUGAAACCCAGCGCCGGAUUCCCCAUCAGACUAUCUGUGGUGUAAUGAUGGACAGGAUUGGUUCUCACCUUUCUUUGUGGGCUCAGGCAUGUUGAGCCGUUCUCCGGUGGACCAGGCACCAGUUGAAGGGGUUCAGAGGGCUUUUCUUCGAGAUUCCUGUCUGUAAUGCUCCUCAAGAAAUUCCAGAAUCACCUCCAAAUCAGUCUGAUAUUCCUGCGGACAGUUCUGGGUUUAACUGUUCUGCAACAUCUGUGGCAAACCUUGGAAUUGUUUCCUGUCUGCUGUGGUUGAUAAAAUGUGGGAAACUGUGCUUGAAGGAUAUGAAAACUCACAAGGAAAGCCCUACAGCUAACAGGAUCCCCCAACAGCAAGAUCUUGAUCAUAUUGCACAUGUAAGGGAAUUCCCCUUCAAAAGAGCCACUUGCUUUGGUGUCAUGUUAACCGAGAUGG